rnacentral:rRNA from 1 species
UACGUAGGGGGCAAGCGUUGUCCGGAUUUACUGGGCGUAAAGAGCGUGUAGGCGGCCAAGCAGGUCCGUUGUGAAAACUGGAGGCUUAACCUCCAGACGUCGACGGAAACCGCGUGGCUAGAGUCCGGAAGAGGAAAGUGGAAUUCCUGGUGUAGCGGUGAAAUGCGCAGAUAUCAGGAAGAACACCUAUGGCGAAGGCAGCUCUCUGGGACGGUACUGACGCUGAGACGCGAAAGCGUGGGGAGCGAACAGG